rnacentral:rRNA from 1 species
AUUGAACGCUGGCGGCAGGCUUAACACAUGCAAGUCGAACGAGUGGCGGACGGGUGAGUAACGCUUGGGAAUCUAGCUUAUGGAGGGGGAUAACUACGGGAAACUGUAGCUAAUACCGCGUACCCUAGGAUUAGCCCAAGUGGGAUUAGGUAGUUGGUGAGGUAAAGGCUCACCAAGCCGACGAUCUCCAGCUGGUCUGAGAGGAUGACCGGCCACACUGGGACUGAGACACGGCCCAGACUCCUACGGAAGGCAGAAGUGGGGAAUAUUGCGCAAUGGGGGCAACCUGACGCAGCCAGGCCGCGUGAAUGAAGAAGGCCUUCGGGUUGUAAAGUUCUUUCGGUAGCGAGGCGGUAACUACAGAAGAAGCACCGGCUAACUCCGUGCCAGCAGCCGCGGUAAUUC